rnacentral:rRNA from 1 species
UACGUAGGGUGCAAGCGUUAAUCGGAAUUACUGGGCGUAAAGAGCUCGUAGGCGGUUUGUCGCGUCUGCUGUGAAAACGCGAGGCUCAACCUCGCGCCUGCAGUGGGUACGGGCAGACUGGAGUGUGGUAGGGGAGAUCGGAAUUCCUGGUGUAGCGGUGAAAUGCGCAGAUAUCAGGAGGAACACCGGUGGCGAAGGCGGAUCUCUGGGCCAUUACUGACGCUGAGGAGCGAAAGCGUGGGGAGCGAACAGG